rnacentral:rRNA from 1 species
GGAGGCGCGCGAUGGUUGGCUCAGGACGGUUGGAAACCGUCUGUUAGAGUGCAAUGGCAUAAGCCAGCCUGACUGCGAGACUGACAAGUCGAGCAGAGUCGAAAGACGGCCAUAGUGAUCCGGUGGUCCCGCAUGGAAGGGCCAUCGCUCAACGGAUAAAAGGUACGCCGGGGAUAACAGGCUGAUACUGCCCAAGAGUCCAUAUCGACGGCAGUGUUUGGCACCUCGAUGUCGGCUCAUCUCAUCCUGGGGCUGGAGCAGGUCCCAAGGGUACGGCUGUUCGCCGUUUAAAGAGGUACGUGAGCUGGGUUUAAAACGUCGUGAGACAGUUUGGUCCCUAUCUACUGUGGAUGCAUGAAAAUUGAGAGGCCUAGACCUUAGUACGAGAGGACCAGGAAAAGUAAACCUCUGGUGUACCGGUUGUUCUUUCUUAGAGCAUCGCCGGGUAGCUAAGUUUAUGCAUGAUAAUCACUGAAACCAUCUAAGUGAGAAACUGCACUCAAAACUAAUUUUCAAACAAGACAUGUGGCAGACGACCACAUACAGAUAGGCCUUGUGUGGACGCCGUGUAAGCGGUGAAGCUAAAAGGUACUAAAAAGUCGACAUUUU